rnacentral:rRNA from 1 species
ACACAUGCAAGUCGAGCGGUAACAGGUGUAGCAAUACAUGCUGACGAGCGGCGAACGGGUGAGUAAUGUUUCGGAAUCUGCCCAAUGGUGGGGAAUAACCAGCCGAAAGGUUGGCUAAUACCGCAUAAGUCCUACGGGAGAAAGCGGGGGAUCGCAAGACCUCGCGCCGAUGGAUGAGCCGAAACCGGAUUAGCUAGUUGGUAGGGUAACGGCCUACCAAGGCGACGAUCCGUAGCUGGUCUGAGAGGACGACCAGCCACACUGGGACUGAGACACGGCCCAGACUCCUACGGGAGGCAGCAGUGGGGAAUAUUGGACAAUGGGGGAAACCCUGAUCCAGCGACGCCGCGUGUGUGAAGAAGGCCUGCGGGUUGUAAAGCACUUUUAGUGGGGAUGAAAAGCUCAGGGCUAAUACCGCUGAGUCUUGACCUAACCCAAAGAAAAAGCACCGGCUAACUCUGUGCCAGCAGCCGCGGUAAUACAGAGGGUGCAAGCGUUAAUCGGAAUUACUGGGCGUAAAGCGUGCGUAGACGGUAGCGUAAGUCGGGUGUGAAAGCCCCGGGCUCAACCUGGGAAUUGCAUUCGAGACUGCUCUGCUA